UUAGCUAGUUGGUGUCUGUCUCAGUGUUUAACAGUUUCCUCUUGUGUUUCCUAGGAGGGUGAGGAGGAGGGAGAGGAGGAGAAUGACCCGACUAUGACCCCAAGAAGGACGCAAAUCCCCAGCCGAGUGCAAAGCAACAGUGAAGGCUGCGGCUUUGAGGAUCAACUGCACUGUAACAGCUUCUCAAAAUAAAAACACUUACUUACGCCUUAUAAUGUUUUGUAUUUUUCUUGGUAGAAAUAAAAAAUAAAGGGUUUCAA